rnacentral:rRNA from 1 species
AUUGAACGCUGGCGGCAGGCCUAACACAUGCAAGUCGAACGAGUGGCGGACGGGUGAGUAAUGUCUGGGAAACUGCCUGAUGGAGGGGGAUAACUACUGGAAACGGUAGCUAAUACCGCAUACCAUCGGAUGUGCCCAGGUGGGAUUAGCUAGUAGGUGGGGUAAAGGCUCACCUGGGCGACGAUCCCUAGCUGGUCUGAGAGGAGGACCAGCCACACGGGAACUGAGACCCGGUCCAGACUCCUACGGGAGGCAGCAGUGGGGAAUAUUGCACAAUGGGCGAAAGCCUGAUGCAGCCAUGCCGCGGGUAUGAAGAAGGCUUUCGGGUGGUAAAGUACUUUCAGCGGGGAGGCGUUACCCGCAGAAGAAGCACCGGCUAACUCCGUGCCAGCAGCCGCGGUAAUUC